UAUCUCGAUAGAACCCAGGGCAAACAUGA
rnacentral:piRNA from 1 species